AGAACGUCGUGAGACAGUUCGGUCCCUAUCUGCCGUGGGCGUUGGAGAAUUGAGGGAAGCUGCUCCUAGUACGAGAGGACCGGAGUGGACAUACCACUGGUGUUCGGGUUGUUAUGCCAAUAGCAUUGCCCGGUAGCUACGUAUGGACGGGAUAACCGCUGAAAGCAUCUAAGCGGGAAGCCCACCUCAAGAUGAGAUAUCACGGAUCUUAAGAUCCCUAAAGAGCCCUUGUAGACAACAAGGUUGAUAGGCGCGAUGUGGAAGUGCAGUAAUGCAUGGAGCUAACGCGUACUAAUUGCUCGUGAGG
rnacentral:rRNA from 11 species